CUCUGUGAGUGCUUCUUUGGCAGUGUCUUAGCUGGUUGUUGUGUGCGAUGAUUGAAGCAGCAAUCAGCAAGCAUACUGCUGCAGAAGUACUGCACGU
rnacentral:pre_miRNA from 1 species